UGCGUAGGGGGCAAGCGUUGUCCGGAAUCAUUGGGCGUAAAGAGCGUGUAGGCGGCUCGGUAAGUCCGCUGUGAAAGUCCAGGGCUCAACCCUGGAAUGCCGGUGGAAACUGUCGAGCUAGAGUCCGGAAGAGGCGAGUGGAAUUCCUGGUGUAGCGGUGAAAUGCGCAGAUAUCAGGAGGAACACCAAUGGCGAAGGCAGCUCGCUGGGACGGUACUGACGCUGAGACGCGAAAGCGUGGGGAGCAAACAGG
rnacentral:rRNA from 1 species